CAGCAGCUAUUUGGUUACACAAAGAAGGCCUGCCGUGGUUGUGAUGACAUAGAUGAAGGAGGGGAGGGGGUCAGGAGUGUACGAUAGAGACCAAUGGAGGCAGAACAGAGUGCAUUUUUGGUGGAUGUCCAGGGAGGAUCCUUUAAUAUGAAGACCAUUCUUAGAAUGAAGCGGCAAAUGUUUCAACGCUUCCCCCAUCAUCUCCAUUCCAGAGGCUAGCGCAUAUAAGACGACGAAAAAAAAGCACUCGCGAUGAAAUGUUCUCUGAGCUCAUGCAGUCCUCCCGCACUGAAAGAGCUCAGCAGAAUGCGUGGAGGCAAACAAUGUCAGAGUCCAGGAAAGCAGAAAAUGAACGAGAGGA